GCUGAAGAUGUUCUUGCUAAGCUGAACACGGCGGGCUACUCUGUCCGUGGAAACACCUUGAGUCUGAAGACGGCCCACCUGCUGGUGACGCUCGGAGACGUCGAUAAGACCGGAGACCUGAACGUGGUGGAGCUCUUUAAUCUGGAGCACUAUGUGGCUGCCGUCAGGAGGGAGUACGUGGAGAGCUACGAGAGGCGGACCCCGCCCGCCGUCACUCAGGCCCAGAUGAAGAAGAUCCUGUCGG